AUUAUGCCAAAGGCACACUGACAAAAACUUGAUUCCUUUGGAGAGGAUGGCAGUAGCUUGGUGGGGAGCAGAAAGGGUCUUGAUUUUAAAAGUCUCAUUGGAAUGACUCUCCCUUCCUCACUGUGAACACAGUUUAGCAUUUAUGUACUUUGGAAGGACAAAGAGGUGAGGUAAUUCACUCCUUAAACAUAUACAACCCUAUUCCAUGUGCAAAUUCUAUUAACUUCAGCUGAAGAUGUAAAAAAUUAGUCCUGCGGCAUGUGAAGGGAUUCCUUUUUGAGAAAGGGAAACAAAAAUGUAUUUGUGCCAACUGUAUCAGACAUAUUUUACUACACAGAACACAGAUUUUUGACACACUUGGCUCCAGAAAGCAAUUUAAUUAUUACUGUUGUCCAGUAAAGAUUUAAAUGGCCUAUUUUGGGGUCUGGAAAUUUUGUUUCAACUUUCCAAGACAAUGGGACCUUGCCUUCACUUUAUCACAAAGUGAAACUUCAAACUUUGAACUUUCUAGGACCAACAUUUAACAGCUACACAAGAAGUCCUGAUUAACAAACGAAACCUAUAUCAGAAUCACACAAACAACAACAAAGUCUGCAACUCUUUAUUUUAAACUGAUUAUGGUUAAAAGUCGAAGUCUUCAGGAAUUGGACUUGAUAAUAUUCAAGGCAAACUCAAAGCAACAUCUCUGGGCAGCAUGAAAUACAUCUGAAAUUGCAUUAUUACCGAAUAUGUGGAGAACUGAUCUUCAGUGAGUUGGGCCAUUCCUUCGUGGACCAAAAAAACCAACAAAAAACCCCACAACAAUGUAAAGACUGUUUGCAACACUGUUGGUGGACAUUUUUAAGUGUAAGAAGUCAAUUGAUAAGAUCUGGCUGUAAUACUUGGCAUCUGCAAUUUUGUACACAAGUCAUUUUCAAGGGGAUGUGAUGUUUUGAUGGAGAUUACCUGUAUUCACAACAGUAAAUGUUACAAUUGUUUUAUAAAUUCAGCUUCAAAAUAUCCAAUUCUUUAAAAGUUCUGGAUAUUAAUUACAGGAACUGGUUGCCCUAAUCUGAUCAGUUAGGGACAGAAAGAGAUGUGUGAAAACUGUAAAAUGUCUUUAUGUUUACAGUGUGUUUUAUAAAACCCCAAGCAGAAAAACGCAAGAGACAUCGGUCUCUUCUUCAGGACUAAACUGAAAAUUCAAGUUUACUUGUGAUUUAUUUGAAGAGGAUUCAGGAGUGGACUAUUUUGUGACAGGAACUGUUCCUCUUUACUUACCUGGGUGACUUGAAAGGCACUGUUCCUUCACAUAGGGAGCUGCCACGUGUUUCGAUUAGAGCCCAGAGACCAAAUUAUUUCAGGUUUCUCUAUUUAUAUAGUCACGGGCCCAUGAAAGACUAUAAUUCUCCUUAGGGCUGAGCAGGAAAUCCAGUUAGCUUAUUUCUAACCCCUGUUGUUGCUUAUUUUCUAAUUCUAAUAGUUUAAAGAAAAAUUAAAAGCAGGCAACAUGAGUAAAUUCUAAAUUUGAACUCAAUGGGGUUCUAACUGCCAGUUAAUUUAAUAAAUGUAAUGAGGAAGAAGUUGAGUUUGUUAACAUCAUGAUUCUUUUGUCACUCUGUGAUAAAGCACUGCACAUUUUCCUGCAGUUAAAACAACAACAACAACACACAAAUAAUCUCCAUUCGUGUAUGAAAGAAUAGUGCAAUAAACUGUCCUGUUUUUGUCCCCAAAACAAGCAAUGGUAGAUAACUUAGCUCCAUCUCAAAGUUCAAUUCAAAUACAGUAUGGACUUAGAAAAAUUUAUACUUUCCUACAAAAUUUUCACUAAUUUAAUAGCCACUUGCCUAUUUCAUCCUGUUCCAGGCAUAGUCAUCUUCUACUGGCCUCUCACCUAUUCAGUCUAUAAAAAAAGAAGACAUUUUUCCUAUAGCCAAAUAUAUAAAUCCUAGUUUUGUUCAUAAUUUCAUAUGGUUAGAAGUGACUGCCAUGCCAUAACUAUUUCAAAUUAUCUUUUAAAUAAAACAGUAGGUAACCAAAUUGCCAGUUUUCUUUUUUCCAUAUCUUCAUAUUUUUACAUUACAGUUUUAUUGAAUAUUGGGUUCCCCUCCCUCCCAACAAAAAUUCAAGUGAUAAUCUAGAUAAAGAUAACAAAAAAUAAUACUUAACAUGUUUGAUGCCUU